rnacentral:rRNA from 1 species
UACGUAGGGACCAAGCGUUGUUCGGAUUUACUGGGCGUAAAGGGCGCGUAGGCGGCGUGGUAAGUCACUUGUGAAAUCUCUGAGCUUAACUCAGAACGGCCAAGUGAUACUGCUGUGCUAGAGUGCAGAAGGGGCAAUCGGAAUUCUUGGUGUAGCGGUGAAAUGCGUAGAUAUCAAGAGGAACACCGGUGGCGAAGGCGGGUCUCUGGGCAAUAACUGACGCUGAGGAGCGAAAGCGUGGGGAGCGAACAGG